rnacentral:SRP_RNA from 1 species
GCCGGGCGUGGUGGCGGGCGCCUGUAGUCCCAGCUACUCGGAGGCUGAGGCGGGAGAAUGGCGUGAACCCAGGAGGCGGAGCUUGCAGUGAGCCGAGAUCGCGCCACUGCACUCCAGCCUGGGUGACACAGCGAGACUCCGUCUCAA